rnacentral:tRNA from 1 species
GGAGCAGUUGCAGCUCAGUGGAACGGCCUCUACCUCGCAUGGAGAAGGUCCCAGGUUUGAAUCCUGGCAUCUCCA